CUAUAGUAUACGUCACGUGUACUAUAUAUUUCGAGUAAAAUUUUCCUCAGAGAGGAAGUUUUGGAACGUAGCCUAAAUAUCAAUUUAUUAUCUCGGGAUCAAUUCUCUGUAUCUUGAAACGAGAUACAGAAUCGAUCCCCUCCAGUCUUGAAAAGUGAACGAUACCGAAGAAAAGUGGACGUUGCUAUGUAGUUUACAAGAAUUUUUCGUCAAGGCUGCAACCUAUAAAAGAUUUCGAUCAAAAGUUUGGCAUGAAUUGAAAAGGACAGAUUAGAGAUCACGAAUUGGAAUGCUGAGACGGUGUGAGG